ACGAGGAGGGCGCGAAAGGCGACACGUGUUAGUCUCUGGUAGGCCAUUGAAGUCAACUCAAUCUGGUUCUAUCGUCGCAGAAGACUCCGAGAAUAAGACCGUUAGUAAAAAGAAGACAGAAAAGAGAGGGGGCACGUGACGGAGGAUGCAUUUCCGUCUCCUUUCCUUUGCGACGACGACGGAGGAGACGACUUUAUAAGCCAGGGAGGGAAGACCCGACACACAAAAUGACAAAAAACCCUUGCCAUUUCACCCAAAUUUCACUCGCAUUUCAUCUGCAUUUACAUUUCACUCCCCAACGGCUCACUCACACAACAAUCGGAUCACGCGCUUAUCCUUGCCUCUCACUCUAUAAAUACUGCCUUCUCCCCCUUUCCUUUCGCCAUUUUUUUGCUUCACUGUAGGCGUGGUGCGCAGAGAGCUAGAGAGAAGGAGGCUAGAGAGAGAGAGAGAGAGAUAAGGCGGUACUCUGGGAUCUACACAGACAUUGAACGCUGGGCAGCUAGGUUGUGGGACUCACCAGAGAUUCGCUCGCUCGCUCUUGAAGACUGAAGCUAGCAAUGGAGGAUAAAUAUUGCCCAAUGAAAUAGUGUUUCUUCUGGAACUCAGAAUUCCCAUAAGGUGCAGGCUGUGUUUUCUCAGGAUUUACCUACCAACUGAAGUUGAGGCCUGCAAAUAUAAUUCUCCACUGUCACACAACACUCAUGUGUUUACAAUGAACUUGUGAAAUUAGCUAAAUCCUAAACUACUGUUCAGUGAUGUGCUUAAACAGAUGCUUCCCUGCUACUGACUAAACAUCAUAAUGACCAUCUGCAACUACCAGAUUGUCGUCAAGAUCUUCAGGUUUUUCCAAGAAACAAAAUUGCUGGAAUCAACAUAUACCCGUACAUCUCCAGAAUCUCAUGAAAGUGCAGGGAUAGUCAGCAGCAGCAAUUUGAUCUGACAGUGAUGUCGCAUUUUCCAAUUUCAUCUGAUCGGUUCCCACAGUGACUCUAGAAGAAAUUUGUUGGAAUCUCAACAUAUACCUCCUGAAUCUCCCAGGAUAGAGCAGGGAGGGAUUCUUGUUUUAGUGGUAAUCCAGUUACGAGAUUGCUUUUCAAAGUCGGCCUUUACUCCUCUAAUUUGCAAUUCUUUCUUUAUAUAUAGAGAGUAAUACAUUCUAUGAAGUUGCAUUGAGUCUUAGCAAAUCUUCCUUGUGAUUCUCAUUAUACUUUGUAAUUCAGAAAUGAGUAUUCUCUUUGAAGUUGCAAAGUUGCAUUGAGUCUUAGCAAAUCUUCCUUGUGAUUCUCAUUAUUCUUUGUAAUUCAGAAAAUGAGUAUUCUCUUUGAAGUUGCAUUCUAUAUAUGAUUGAAUGAUGUUGUCCUUUGUCCA